GGAUAUUGCUGUCAAAGGAAUGGAUUCAUUUUUUUAUUAAAAGAGAUGAACUUAUGAAUUCAACAGGUGAAGAUUUACAACUUGAUAAAUCAGCUUUGUGAGGUAGGUCUUCAGUCUUUAGUCAGGUUAGAAGAUUAUGUGAAGUAACGUUUAACAUUAAUUUCUUUUAAUGGUAGCUUUCACAUGAAAUAAUAUGCCUCUAAGUAUUAAUUAU
rnacentral:lncRNA from 1 species